AUAAAAUAAAAAAAAAAUGGACAUUACACACAAAAUUUUUUAAAUAUAAUCAAUAGACUCCAUAAGUUAUAUUUUUAUAACGUUGUUUUUGUUCUUGUUUGUACGUGUUUAUUUGUAUGUGUCUAUUUGUACGUGUUUAUUUGUNNNNNNNNNNUGUGUCUAUUUGUACGUGUUUAUUUGUAUGUGUCUAUUUGUACGUGUCUAUUUGUACGUGUCUAUUUGUACGUGUCUAUUUGUACGUGCCUAUUUGUACAUUUUUUUUUAGCGUAAAUAAAAAUUUUAAGAAUUCAUAUCAAGGACAGGUACUAAAAAAACAAUGUUUUUGCAUAUGUAUGAACAUAAAUACAUAUAAAUAUAUAAAUAUAUAUAUAUACAACAUUUACUCAAAUAUUACUGUAUAAAAUGUAUUACCCACCUUUUCUGCAUUAAGAAAAAGAGAAAGUAAAAGAACAAUUAAUUUUUUUUUAACUUAUUUAAAUUUUUUUUUUUUUUUUUUUUUACUACUUCUAAAAUGAACAAACAUAGUAACUUUUGUAAAUAAAAAAAAAAAAAUAUGUAUAAAAAAAAUAAGUUGCACAUAUCUAUCUAAUUUUACACUGUUAUUAUUAUUUUUUUUUUCUUUACUUAUAUAUAUACAUAUUAUAUACACAUUAUAUACACAUAAACAUAUAAAUGUUCAUAUGUAAAAAAAAAUAAUAAGGACGUGGUUAAAGAAAGCUAUAAAAAUUGUAAAAAAAAAAAAAAAAAAAACUAUUAUACUUACAAAUAUUCAUAAUAAAUUUAAUCGAAACAUAAAUGGUAAAAUGAAUGAAAAUCGAAAAAACCAAAGCAUUAAAAAAGCUACCAAAAGAAAGUCAACAAGCCAACAUAUGUAUUUUCUAAAUCAUGCUAAUGAUGGAAAAAAAAAAUUGAACAUAGUAGAAAAAAAAAAAACAAAAUUAGAAAAAAUUCAUAUAUUACCGAUAAAACAAAACGUUUCAAAUUUAGACACUCUUCAUAAUACUUUAAAAUUAAUAAUAAAUAAUGAAAAUUAUUUACUUCAUGAAGGAUAUAUCAUUAAUGUAAAAAAAGAAGGUGUAAAAAAAGAAGGUGUAAAAAAAGAAGGUGUAGAAAAAGAAGGUGUAGAAAAAGAAGGUGUAGAAAAAGAAGGUGUAAAAAAAGAAGGUGUAGAUGAAAAAGGUGUAGACGAAAAAUAUAUAGCAGAUAACUAUAAAAAAAUAAAAGAUAAAAAUCAAUCUAUAGAUGUUAAUAAACAAUUAGAAACAAAUGUAAACAUUAUAGCUGAAAUAGUAGAUUCGGUUGAUAUUACUACAAAUAAUGUUGAUGGUAUUAAUAUAAAUAAUGCUAGUAAAAAAAAUAACAUAACGACAAACACACAUAACGAUGAAAAUUGUUCAUACGAUAUUAAUAACAGUUGUAUAGAUAUUAAUAACAAUUGUCUGAAUAAUAAUAACAAUUGUAUGGAUAAUAAUAUAAAAUUUGUAGUUACAAACUGUGUCCCUUCCCAAGGAGUACUCACUCAUGAUACAUUAAUUUAUACUGAUGGUAAAUAUGUUGAUUUAUUAAAAAAUAUUCAUAUUUUAAUUAUAAAAGAUAAAAAUUAUAUAAAAUAUAAAAACAAAUUAAAAAGGAAAUUUGUUUUUUUUAAAAAAUAUUUAAUAAAAAAAAGUAACGAUUUUUUUAAUGAAGCUAUUUCUUAUAUUCCGUAUUACUUUGAUUGUUUUUAUCCAAAUAUUAAAACAUUAAACGGAGAAAAAAAUGUGGAGAAAAAAAAAAAUGUAGACACGAGCACAAACAAAAGCACAAGCACGAACAAAAGCACAAACAAAAGCACGAACAAAAGCACAAACAAAAGCACAAACAAAAACAAAAACAAAAUUAUAAGCACAAUUGCAAAUACAGAUGCAAAUUCAAACAUAGAUACAGAUACAGAUACAAAUUUUAUUAUACACAAAAUUACAUCCAACUAUUUAUACCCUUAUUUAAAAAAAAAUAGAAAUAAAUUAUUUUACACUGGAAAAUUAUUUUUAAUAAAUAAUUUAUCUUUUAUUGUUUCAUCGGUAGAUUCGGAUGUGGCUGUUGGUUUUAUUAAUGACAAAACGGAAAUAACUGUAAAUGUAGACCUAUACGAAGAAUAUAAAAACAUACACAUCGCACCAAUGUAUGAUACCUUACCUACAACAUACAAUUAUAAUUUAUUUAUUGAAUAUAUUAAACCAUUUAUUGAAAAAAAUUAUUUGAAAACUUUUUCUUUAUAUGAUACUUUUUUUUAUAAAGGUAUACAAUUCAAAAUAAUGGGAGUAAAACCCAUAAACGUAAAAUGUGGAAGAGGAAGAAUAACAGUAAACACUCUUAUAUACACAGGAGGAACUAUAAAACCAACAUUCUUUGAUGUUAUAUCUAAUGAAUACAUUAAAUAUAUAAAUUUUUUCCCAGAUGAAUAUAAACAUUUGGCAGUUUGUAAUAUUUUACAACAAUUAGACAAUGAUGCAUUAACUAGAUUAUACCCACCUUCAAAUAUAAACACACAAUUUGAAAAUAAAAAUGAACAACUAAUGCUUAUUAAAAGAUUAACCAAACAUAUGUAUAUAUAUUAUAAAACAAUAAGUAGUGAUGAUAAAAUGUCUUAUAAUACAGUUCAAGACGUUACUGACAGUUCUUGUGAGGUUAUACAAAAUAGUAACAACGUAAACGGCAACAAAAACAAUAACAAUAAUAACAUUGUAUAUGAUCAAUGCGUAGUUUGUUUUGAAUAUUUCAAAGAUCAAGAUAGGUGUAUUAAAUUAACAUGUAUGCAUACUUAUCACUGGGAGUGCGUAAAAAAUUGGCUAAAAUUUAAUUUAACAUGCCCAUGUUGUCGCCACCAGCUGAGCGUUUAAACCUUAUCAGAUGUGGUAUAUAUAAAUAAACAUAUAUAUAUGUACGUGUGUAUUAAGAGA
ensembl:lncRNA